AACGGAUUAUUCUUUAUAGCUUGCUAUAAAGGAUAGUUAGUGGCAGACGGGUGAGUAAUGCAUAGGAAUCUACCUAGUAGUAUGGGAUAGCCACUAGAAAUGGUGGGUAAUACUGUAUAAUCCCUGCGGGGGAAAGAUUUAUCGCUAUUAGAUGAGCCUAUGUUAGAUUAGCUAGUUGGUAGGGUAAAGGCCUACCAAGGCGAUGAUCUAUAGCUGGUCUGAGAGGAUGAUCAGCCACACUGGAACUGAGAUACGGUCCAGACUCCUACGGGAGGCAGCAGUGGGGAAUAUUGGGCAAUGGGCGCAAGCCUGAUCCAGCUAUGCCGCAUGAGUGAGGAAGGCCUUAGGGUUGUAAAACUCUUUCAGUAGGGAAGAUAAUGACGGUACCUACAGAAGAAGUCCCGGCAAACUCCGUGCCAGCAGCCGCGGUAAUACGGAGGGGGCAAGCGUUGUUCGGAAUUAUUGGGCGUAAAGGGCAUGUAGGCGGUUCGGUAAGUUAAAGGUGAAAUGCCAGGGCUUAACCCUGGAGCUGCUUUUAAUACUGCC
rnacentral:rRNA from 1 species